rnacentral:rRNA from 1 species
CCUACGGGAGGCAGCAGUGAGGAAUAUUGGUCAAUGGCCGGAAGGCUGAACCAGCCAAGUCGCGUGAGGGAAUAAGGCCCUAUGGGUCGUAAACCUCUUUUGUCAGGGAGCAAAGGCGUCCACGAGUGGACGAAAGGAGAGUACCUGAAGAAAAAGCAUCGGCUAACUCCGUGCCAGCAGCCGCGGUAAUACGGAGGAUGCGAGCGUUAUCCGGAUUUAUUGGGUUUAAAGGGUGCGUAGGCGGAGUGUCAAGUCAGCGGUAAAAUUUCGGGGCUCAACCCCGUCGUGCCGUUGAAACUGACACCCUUGAGUGAGUGAGAAGUAAGCGGAAUGCGUGGUGUAGCGGUGAAAUGCAUAGAUAUCGCGCAGAACUCCGAUUGCGAAGGCAGCAUGCCGGCUCCACACUGACGCUGAGGCACGAAAGCGUGGGUAUCGAACAGGAUUAGAUACCCUAGUAGUC